UACAGAGGGUGCAAGCGUUGUUCGGAAUUAUUGGGUGUAAAGCGCGUGUAGGCGGCCUUGCAAGUCGGGUGUGAAAGCCCUCAGCUCAACUGGGGAAGCGCGCCCGAAACUGCAGAGCUUGAGUACCGGAGAGGAUGGCGGAAUUCCCCAAGUAGAGGUGAAAUUCGUAGAUAUGGGGAGGAACACCGGUGGCGAAGGCGGCCAUCUGGACGGAUACUGACGCUGAGACGCGAAAGCGUGGGGAGCAAACAGG
rnacentral:rRNA from 1 species